GAUGAACGCUGGCGGCGUGCUUAACACAUGCAAGUCGAACGGAGCUUAUGUGAUAGAGGAUUCGUCCAAUUGAUCAUAAGCUUAGUGGCGGACGGGUGAGUAACGCGUGAGGAAUCUGCCUUGGAGUGGGGAAUAACACAGUGAAAAUUGUGCUAAUACCGCAUAAUGCAGUUGAGUCGCAUGGCUCUGACUGCCAAAGAUUUAUCGCUCUGAGAUGACCUCGCGUCUGAUUAGCUAGUUGGUAGGGUAACGGCCUACCAAGGCGACGAUCAGUAGCCGGACUGAGAGGUUGGCCGGCCACAUUGGGACUGAGACACGGCCCAGACUCCUACGGGAGGCAGCAGUGGGGAAUAUUGGGCAAUGGGCGCAAGCCUGACCCAGCAACGCCGCGUGAAGGAAGAAGGCUUUCGGGUUGUAAACUUCUUUUGUCAGGGACGAACACAAUGACGGUACCUGACGAAUAAGCCACGGCUAACUACGUGCCAGCCGCCGCAGUAAAAC
rnacentral:rRNA from 1 species